GACGAACGCUGGCGGCGUGCUUAACACAUGCAAGUCGAACGGAAAGGCCCUGCUUGCAGGGUACUCGAGUGGCGAACGGGUGAGUAACACGUGGGUGAUCUGCCCUGCACUUCGGGAUAAGCCUGGGAACCUGGGUCUAAUACCGGAUAGGAGCCAUUUUUAGUGUGAUGGUUGGAAAGUUUUUUCGGUGUAGGAUGAGCUCGCGGCCUAUCAGCUUGUUGGUGGGGUAAUGGCCUACCAAGGCGGCGACGGGUAGCCGGCCUGAGAGGGUGGACGGCCACAUUGGGACUGAGAUACGGCCCAGACUCCUACGGGAGGCAGCAGUGGGGAAUAUUGCACAAUGGGCGCAAGCCUGAUGCAGCGACGCCGCGUGGGGGAUGACGGCCUUCGGGUUGUAAACUCCUUUCGCUAGGGACGAAGCUUUUUGUGACGGUACCUAGAUAAGAAGCACCGGCUAACUACGUG
rnacentral:rRNA from 1 species